rfam:Homo sapiens chromosome 10, GRCh38 reference primary assembly.
GCCAGGUGUGGUGGUACGCACCUGUAAUCCCAGCUACUCGGGAGGCUGAGGCAGGAGAAUCACUUGAACCCAGGAGGCGGAGGUUGCAGUGAGCCAAGAUCUUGCCACUGCACUCCAGCCUGGGUGACACAGUGAGAUCUUGUCUCAA